UUUAAAAAAAAGUUUAAGUAUUUAUUUACCUUCCCCCUGCAUCUUCAUCUGAGGAAAUGACCCAAGGUCCAACUUUAAAAAACUAGGAAGAAGUCACAGGAGGCCCCUGAGACAUUGUGGCAGGUGUCUUCCCUUCCUUCAGGUGUGUGGUCCUCCCACUCCAAAGAAGCAGGUCUGGGAAUUGUGCGAAUCUCUCACAUGUUGCCUCAAGACAGGCCUCUCUUCACUUUCUUGACCCUGAAGGUCAAGGGCGACUAUGGUGGAUUGCUUACUGAUUUAACUCUGGGAGAUCCCCGUUAAUCACCCAGAGCCCAAGAUCCUGGAAGGUAACAGGACUCCCAGAGAACCAAGCUCCACACCUGCCUUACACUCUGAGGCCCGACCCACCGUACCUCCCAGCAGAUGCUCCUCCACCCCCUCAGAAACCAGACUUCCAUCACAGCCCCUCCUGUUAGCAUUCCCUGACAGCCAGUAGAGACAGCCUUUUUAAAGAUUCUGGAACUUCCAUCACCACCUUAUUCCUUGUGGCAAGGCGGGGGGGUUGGAAUCUGUGGGUGGCGUGGGUACACAUGAGUGGAUCCAACUCAGCAUUCCUGUCUCCCACAGUCUUAGAACCUGGUCCUCUGUGUUAUGCAAGGCCUCCUAGCCUUUCUGUGUCAUUUCAAUGCCAUCAGUUGGCUUCAGCCAGUCCACUAAGUUGUUAGAACAUAGACCACAGUCCCCAAGCCAGGAUCGUCUUCUCCAUAACUAACCUCAAUCGGAUCCAGAAUCGUGUUCCUCCUUCUUGGCCAAGUACCCUCAAAAUCCAUUCCCACGUUCUCCAAAUUUCUGAUGAUGUAAAUUCGUGAACCCCUGCAAUUUCUCUGGUGUCUCUCUCCUUGCUUUGUUUCUGCUUUUCUGCCUCUAGUUUGCGGUGUACAAGCUGAAACCCCAUCACUGGGCAGGCAACAAUGAGGAGAGCUGCAAGAACACUGUUCACUUCUCCUUCAAGGGAGAAGCAUCUUCCUCAGGUUUUAAUGGAAACCCCAUAUGGUUUCUGGAGGGGAACAAAGAUAUGUCGGGGUCUAAAGGGACUCAUCCUGGUGGAGCAACGGCAGAGACAGGAGGCCCUCAGCCGAGACUGUGAAAGUCCCACGUCCUGGAACAAACUGGCAGAGAAAUGAAAAAACAAGAGUAUGAUUUCCUACAGAGGCUCUUCCCAACUCAGACACAGUGACGGUGUAUUUAAAAGUUGAUUUGGGCUCCUGGGUGGCUCAGUUGGUUAAGC